UUCUUGUCUACUGACCCAGUUGCCUCGGUGGGCCGAGCCGUUCGCGGCCGGCUGGUGGAAACUUCGGUUUACCUUGUGUAAACUGCUGCUUCCUCGGGCUUGUGCCCGCCGAUGGACAUUAAAAAUCUAAUAUAUUGGCCGUCUGAGCAUAUAAAGCAAAAUCUUUUAAAACUUUCAACAACGGAUCUCUUGGUUCCGGCAUCGAUGAAGAACGCAGCGAAAUGCGAUAAGUAAUGUGAAUUGCAGAAUUCCGUGAAUCAUCGAAUCUUUGAACGCACAUUGCGCCCUCUGGUAUUCCGGAGGGCAUGCCUGUUCGAGCGUCAUUGCAACCCUCAAGCUCGGCUUGUGUGAUGGGCGAUCGUCCUUCCUUUAGGCGGGACGCGUUCGAAAAGCAGUGGCUAGGCCGCGAUACCGGCGCCUAAGCGAAUGGGAUUUCCAACGCUUAUAGGACCGGCCGGUUUUUUGGCCUUAAAAUCUAGAUCUUUAUUGAUCUAUCUAGGUUGACCUCGGAUCAGG
rnacentral:rRNA from 1 species